UCGUAGGUCCUAAAAUGAGUUACUAGUUACUGAUUUUCCUUCAAGAAUGAAGAUUAUUACUCCUUUGUCCGCCGGGACAUUAAAAAAAAUGGCGGUGGCCAAGUUAACCAUUGUGAGCCGUCUGAAGCCGAUACCACAAGAAAAAGCAGUCAUCCUUGGGCAAAAGUUUUGCAGGAGAUAAAGGAUCGAUCUCUUACCAUUCUCUUCUUCAGUCUAAAGUGCGAACCUCGCGACCAG